AACGCAGGUGGUUUGGUAAGUCAGAGGUGAAAGACCACAGCUUAACUGUGGCACUGCCUUUGAUACUGCCUUUCUUGAGUAGAGUAGGGGGAAGCGGAAUUCCGAGUGUAGAGGUGAAAUUCGUAGAUAUUCGGAGGAACACCGGUGGCGAAGGCGGCUUCCUGGACUCUAACUGACACUCAUGUUCGAAAGCGUGGGUAGCAAACAGGAUUAGAUACCCUGGUAGUCCACGCCCUAAACGAUGGGCACUAGGUGUGGGAGGUAUCGACCCCUUCCGUGCCGCAGCUAACGCAUUUAAGUGCCCCGCCUGGGGAGUACGGCCGCAAGGUUGAA
rnacentral:rRNA from 1 species